AAGUUGGACCUAACGGCAGCAACUAGCAUCACUGGACUUACACUUCAAGAAUUAAGACAGAGUCAAGGAAGAGAACUGGGGAUGUGAUAAAGAUACCAGACCCAAGUGAGCAGAAGUCAACUUCCUACCAAACUUUCCCCAAGGAAAGGAUCCUUCAAGCCUUGACCAGUUGAGGCAAGCAAUUGUUGAAGAAGUCAAGAAGGCUGAGAAGAACCUGCCCCUCAUUAGAAAGUUGAUGGAGACCACAUUUCCCCUGCGCAGACAAACCAUAGUGAUGUCCUGCCCACCAGUGAAGGAGCUCUUGGACCUCUGGCCUGCUCUAAAAAUGGAGUCUGAGUUGUAUGCAGAGUUUCAGCGGAUUACAAAUCAGAACCUGCCCAAUACAUUCUACGCUGAACUUGACCGCCAUCUUCCUCGACUGAUGACCUUAUUCAGACAGAAGGCAUCAAAACUGGGAAGACAGCAGAUGCCCUGGCUGAAAUUCUAAGAAUUCACGAUGAACAGGAAAUCCAUGAUAUCCACACCAAGCACACUACCGUUCUCCACGCCCUUCCUGUCUAUCUGCGUGAGGAUGUCUCUGGAUUUUUCAGAACCUGCACUGACGAAUCUGAUGAGUUGGAGCUUGAUGGUGUUGAAGUGGCCCUCUUCACUGUCAUCAGUGACCAUGACACGACAAGUCCAGUUCACUACCAACCUGUGAAAACCUCUGUCGUCAUUGAAAGUGAUGCCGUGGUCAGUCUCCCCAGAUUUGGUGAAGCCUUCCUGGUAAUGUUUGGACUGAUCUAUGCACUUCACCUCAGCUACCCCAAAGCCCUGACCAACACUUUAGAAUUUACUCAAAAGAUUUUACUUGGUCUAGAAAGUGGUAAACUGUCACCCAGGUUACAGACCCUCAAGAAUGACUUGGUUAUGUAGGAACUCAUCUGAAAGAAGGAUGCAGGGUAAAGCAUUAUAAAAGGCUAGUUCAAAGUUCUCUCCUUUUAUCUAAAUAAUGCCUCAAAACGUUAUUGCAUUACUCGACAGGUGUUCAGCCAAUAGGUCCAAACUAUACAACGUGCCUUUGUCCUCAUUAACAUAAUGCAAAGCAACACUAAUGUUUUGUAUGUUUUAAUGUUUUUUGUAAUACUAUUUCUAAAACA